GAUGAACGCUGGCAGCGUGCCUAAUACAUGCAAGUCGAGCGAACAGACGAGGAGCUUGCUCCUCUGACGUUAGCGGCGGACGGGUGAGUAACACGUGGAUAACCUACCUAUAAGACUGGGAUAACUUCGGGAAACCGGAGCUAAUACCGGAUAAUAUAUUGAACCGCAUGGUUCAAUAGUGAAAGACGGUUUUGCUGUCACUUAUAGAUGGAUCCGCGCCGCAUUAGCUAGUUGGUAAGGUAACGGCUUACCAAGGCAACGAUGCGUAGCCGACCUGAGAGGGUGAUCGGCCACACUGGAAGUGAGACACGGUCCAGACUCCUACGGGAGGCAGCAGUAGGGAAUCUUCCGCAAUGGGCGAAAGCCUGACGGAGCAACGCCGCGUGAGUGAUGAAGGUCUUCGGAUCGUAAAACUCUGUUAUUAGGGAAGAACAAAUGUGUAAGUAACUAUGCACGUCUUGACGGUACCUAAUCAGAAAGCAACGGCUAACUACGUG
rnacentral:rRNA from 1 species